ACCAGUGAUUUUUCAGGGGCUCUCGGGCCUUUGGCCACAGACUGAAGACUGCAUUGUUUACUUCCCAACUUUCGAGGUUUUGGGACUCGGACUGAUGCACCACUGGCUUCCUUGCUCCUCAACGUGCAAAUGGCCUAUCAUGGGAAUUUAUCUUGUAAUCAUAAGAAGAAACUGAAGUUGGAAAGAUCAACAAGCUUACCUGAAGUCACAGGGCGGGAGAGUAAAGGAGCAGAAUUUUCAACCUAAGUUUAUAUGAUUCUAAAAUUUUCCACUACCAUGCUACUAAAAGAAAUUACUCAACUAGUUCUUCCUGUUCAGGUUCUAAUGGAGACUGAAGAUCCAUCACCUGCUCCACAUCUCCAGGGGGCCCAUGUGUGCAUCGCAGUGCAGAUCAUACAUGCUUCUUUCCCCUCCCAUGGCAAGGGGAAUACUGAAUGAUGACAACUCACAUGUGUAACCCAAGGGCUUUGCUUGGGUUUGCAAGGACUAGUGCACAAUACAUUCUUUGAGUGUUAUAAUAACAUUAAGUCAAUGCA